rnacentral:sRNA from 1 species
GGGCGGAGCUUUACCUUCAGCACGUGACAGCCGCUCCUGUGGGAGGGUCCUGUGUUGCCUUUCAGACAUGGUUUUUGUUUGAGGUGUUGCUAGCCUUGUGCUGUCAGCACAGCAAGCAUACUGCGCACAUGAGUGCUGUGCCCAUGGAGACCAGAAGAGGGCUCUGAUAUCGAAAUGCAGUUACUGACUGUGAGCCUCCAUAUGGAUACUGAGACUUGAUGGCAACCCUAAAAGUGUUUAUUUUUUUUUAUGUGUAUGAAUGUGUUGCCUAUUCAUGUGUCUGUGUGCUGUUAAAAUGGCUGGUACCAUGAAGUCCAACACAGGGCACCAUUUAUCCUGGGACUGGAGUUACAGUUGUAACCUUCCAUGUGGGUGCUGCUGUUUCCUUUUUAGUACUAUCCUACAGUGCUGCAGUUGAUCCCUAGGACCUAGUGCUUGCUUGGUUUGGCUCUGAAACCAGGCUAUAUCCUGACAAACUAUCAUUUAAGAGUGUUUAAGGCCAAGAAGAUGGUUAAGUGGGUAAAGCUCCUACUGUGCAAGCCUGAAGACCCAAGUUCAAGUCCCCAGAACUCAAGUAAAAGCUACAUGGCACGGCAUGGUCCCUGUUAUCUACAAUUUCAGCUUCAAUGUCUAGAUAGCCCAGGCCAGGCAGUGGCCUCAGCAGGAACCAGGCUUCUCAGGGAAAGUAGUAGUCUAUAAAGGCAGGCUGCCCGCUGACCCAACUUGGAUGCCUCAGGACUCCCAUCUGCCACAGCCCUGUCUUGGUAGUUCACAGGGUCUGGAGUUAGCUAGCCUCCUCCAGCAGGGCCCCCAAGAGACAUCCGGAACUUGCCCAUGUUCUGGGGGGUGGGGCCCAAAGACAGAAGCAAGCCACUGCUAGUGUAGUGUUCCCUUUUAACAACAGUCUUUAUUGAUAACUUCCCAACAUCUGUAAACAUCAGGUAUAAAAAUAUUCCAUUCAGCUGUUUUCUAAGGUGACUGGCCAGCUCCUGGAGAUAACCUGAUGGACCUUGGAGAAACACAGCUCCUCACAGUCAAGGCUGCCUCUUCCUCCAGAAUUCAACACAACAGGAAAAAAGUACUCCACAGAGGGAAAGGAGACAUAGUUGAAUCAGCAGCUGCCAGUGGGUAGG